UACGUAGGGAGCGAGCGUUGUCCGGAUUCAUUGGGCGUAAAGAGCUCGUAGGCGGCUUGGUAAGUCGGAUGUGAAACCUCCAGGCUCAACCUGGAGUCGCCAUCCGAUACUGCCAUGGCUAGAGUCCGGUAGGGGCCCACGGAAUUCCUGGUGUAGCGGUGAAGUGCGCAGAUAUCAGGAGGAACACCGAUGGCGAAGGCAGUGGGCUGGGCCGGCACUGACGCUGAGGAGCGAAAGCGUGGGGAGCGAACAGG
rnacentral:rRNA from 1 species